GAAAUGCGAUAAGUAAUGUGAAUUGCAGAAUUCCGUGAAUCAUCGAAUCUUUGAACGCACAUCGCGCCCUCUGGCAUUCCGGGGGGCAUGCCUGUCCGAGCGUCAUUACGCACCCUCAAGCCCGGCUUGUGUGAUGGGCCCCGGCGUCUCGUUCGCGAGACGGGCCCGAAAGGCAGCGGCGGCGUCGACCCGAUGAGCCCGAGCGUAUGGGGACUUCUGUCACACGUUCGCGGUGCGGACCGGCGCCUGCUUGACUUUUCUGAUUAUCCAGGUUGACCUCGGAUCAGGUAGGGAUACCCGCUGAACUUAAGC
rnacentral:misc_RNA from 1 species